UUACCCACAUCCGGCGGAGGGGGUCGUGAGGUUCUUGCAAAGGCAGCUUGGGGGAGGCUUCCAUCAAGAUGUCGGAAUAGAAGGACAGGGGAGAUCACCUCCUCUCACGGGUACAUCAAAAAUACAUCUGCAUCUGAAACAAUUCUCACAGAAUACCUGCUGAACGCUGGCAAAACAGCUCAAACUCUCCAAAUCACAAGAAAGAUCUCCACAUGAUCAGGACACCUGCCCCAGUAUUCUGAACAUAGCAGGUACUCAGUAAAGACGGAUGGGUUAAUUCAUGGAUUUAAAAGUCCCAAGAUGCAGCCCAACAUCACAGUCAAAGAAGAUGUGGGCCCAGGUGGUUGGACUCCGUUUCACAGAGCGUGUGUGGAAUGUAUGAGAGACCCUGACCAGGCAGACCUUUGCAGAAGCCAUUAACAUCCUGUAAACGGCAACAACCAGCAGAGCAACAAGGCCAUGAAUCUGAACGCGCUAGUCUAAGGUUCUGGCACCCCUCCCUGCUUCCUUUUACCCAGCUCAACAAUAUCCACAGACCGUUUCAUUUUUUUUUUUUUUUUUUGGUACGUGGGCCUC